rnacentral:rRNA from 1 species
GAGAUACGCCAGACUCCUACGGAAGGCAGCAGUACGAAUUUUCACAAUGACGAAGUCUGAUGGAGCAAUGCCGCGUGAGGUGAUGACGUCUUCGGAUGUAAAGCUCUGUUGUAAGGAAGAAAUACUAGAGAGGAAAUGCUUUUAGUUUGACGGUACCUUACCAGAAAGCACGGCUAACUAUGUGCCAGCAGCCGCGGUAAUACAUAGGUGGCAAGCGUUAUCCGGGAUUAUUGGGCGUAUAGGGUGCGUAGGCGGUUAGUUAAGUUUGAGGUCAAAGCCCGGGGCUCAACCCCGGUUCGCCUUGAAAACUGGCUGACUAGAAUACAGGAGAGGUAGAUGGAAUUCCAUGUGUAGCGGUGAAAUGCGUAGAUAUAUGGAGGAACACCAGUGGCGUAGGCGGUCUACUGGCCUGUUAUUGACGCUGAGGCACGAAAGCGUGGGGAGCAAAUAGGAUUAGAUACCCUAGUAGUCCACGCCGUAAACGUUGAGUACUAAGUGUCGGCAUUAUGUCGGUGCUGCAGCUAACGCAUUAAGUACUCCGCCUGAGUAGUAUGCUCGCAAGAGUGAAACUCAAAGGAAUUGACGGGGACCCGCACAAGUGGUGGAGCAUGUGGUUUAAUUCGAAGCAACGCGAGGAACCUUACCAGGGCUUGACAUCCAGUGCAAAGCUACAGAGAUGUAGAGGAGGUUAACAUUGAGACAGGUGGUGCAUGGUUGUCGUCAGCUCGUGCCGUGAGGUGUUGGGUUAAGUCCCGCAACGAGCGCAACCCUUAUCAUUAGUUACUAACAUUCAGUUGAGCACUCUAAUGAGACUGCUAGUGUAAGCUAGAGGAAGGUGGGGAUGACGUCAAAUCAUCAUGCCCCUUAUGUCCUGGGCUACACACGUGCUACAAUGGCUGGUACAAAGAGUUGCAAUCCCGCGAGGGGGAGCUAAUCUCAAAAAGCCAGUCUCAGUUCGGAUUGAAGUCUGCAACUCGACUUCAUGAAGCCGGAAUCACUAGUAAUCGCGAAUCAGCAAUGUCGCGGUGAAUACGUUCUCGGGUCUUGUACACACCGCCCGUCACACCAUGAGAGUUGGUAAUACCAGAAGUAUGUAUCUUAACCGCAAGGAGGGAGCGUACCAAGGUAGGACUAGCGAUUAGGGUGAAGUCGUAACAAGGUAACCGUA